GUGCUCCCUUAGGCAGCACAUAUACUAAAAAUUGGAAUGAUACAGGGAAGAUUAGCAUGGCCCCUGAGCAGGGAAAACCAGCACCUGUUUCACAGGGCUGCUAUAAGACU
rnacentral:snRNA from 1 species